rnacentral:rRNA from 1 species
GAUGAACGCUGGCGGCGUGCCUAAUACAUGCAAGUCGAGCGAACAGACGAGGAGCUUACUCCUCUGACGUUAGCGGCGGACGGGUGAGUAACACGUGGAUAACCUACCUAUAAGACUGGGAUAACUUCGGGAAACCGGAGCUAAUACCGGAUAACAUGUUGAACCGCAUGGUUCAACAGUGAAAGACGGUCUUGCUGUCACUUAUAGAUGGAUCCGCGUCGCAUUAGCUAGUUGGUAAGGUAACGGCUUACCAAGGCAACGAUGCGUAGCCGACCUGAGAGGGUGAUCGGGCACACUGGAACUGAGCCACGGUCCAGACUCCUACGGGAGGCAGCAGUAGGGAAUCUUCCGCAAUGGGCGAAAGCCUGACGGAGCAACGCCGCGUGAGUGAAGAAGGUCUUCGGAUCGUAAAACUCUGUUAUUAGGGAAGAACAAAUGUGUAAGUAACUAUGCACGUCUUGACGGUACCUAAUCAGAAAGCCACGGCUAACUACGUG